GGUCAGCUCACCCAGGGGAGCACGGGGGGGGACUAAAGUCAGAGUUCAGCAAUUGUAUAAUAUGAGUACACAAGCUAAGAUUAGUCAGAAUUUAAGCAACUAAUGUACUUCUAGUACGCUUGGCUUUGCGCCAUGUCUGUAAACUGCUGUUUAACUGGUGGGCCCAAGCGAAAUAUAUGCUCCUGGACUCACAAAUAUUGCUGGAGCACCAUAAGAUCAGCUAUGUUUCUGUCCUACACUAUACCUCAGCUAACGAUUGCUCCUGAUUAACGCUUAAUUACUC